rnacentral:lncRNA from 1 species
GGCUUUUCGUCUCUGUUCAGCGGGGAAGCAGCGAGGUUCCCUCCAGAUAGCGGUGAAGGGCGGCUUCCUAACUUUGUUUCCCAAGUCCCCUAACUUCGGAAUGCUUCUGCAUUGGUUCUUGCUCAGUGUCAUACCAGCGACUCCAAGAGUCAUGUCACCCACUUAGCAGGAGUACUUCUACUGAAAUGCCUUCGAAUUUCUCUUACUGGAUAUAUACCUACCAGCCGCUAGCAUGAAGAUGCCAGGACCGCUGCAAGUUAGCACUGGACAAAGUAGCAUCAACUUCUUCAUUUAGAGUUUCUUCAGUUAAAUUGCUGGGAUUUUCGACAAGGCUUUCCUUAUGUGGAUUAUUGGAGUGUGAUGCCCGAGAAUUCUCUACUUGUAGAAGCACGCCCACGGGACUGCAGAAGCCUUCACACCCACCCAGCACGCUCAGAUGGGAAUGAGUGAUGGCCAUCCAGUGACCAGCUGGAUCUGACUGCCUUACAAGACGCAUGUGUAUGAUUAAGAGAGAGACAUUCGUGACUCCCAGAUGUACCUCCUUCCUGUCCCACAGUGUUCCUGAAGGGAGUGAGUUAUGGGGUAACUUAUAACACAGCAGGCUCUUCCUCAAGAUAGCUCUUGUCAAAACAGGAAGACGAAACUCGGGUUUCCAUGAGGAGACCACAGCUUGGGAUCCUGUCUGGAUGUACAAGCAGAAGCAUCUUCAUACUUUUCCAUUUCUAACCAUCAUGCCUCACCCCACCCUCCCAAGGCGACAUCUGCAGAGAGGUGGAACCAUCUAGGGAGGCCUGCCACUGUUUGCUGAGCUCCGGGUGAGGAUGAAGACACUUUGACAUGGCCAGCUUCAGACUCGGGAUCUGUCGGUGUUAGCAGCCGAAGGAGAAUGAGGAGGAAGAGGAGGAGAAAGAGGAGGAGGAAGUAAGACAGAGGGGGACAAGAGGACCAAGAGGGCACAUGGCUGAGGAGGAGGAGAACAACAACAACAACAACAACAACAACAACAACAAGAAGCUUGGUGUUUUCAGGAUGUGUUCCUGAGUCUCGUGAGUAGCACAUGGCAGUUGUUGUCACCUUGGGCUGAGCCGUGAAGAUUCUCACCCUCCCUUGUUGGGGAUGAACUCCGGGAUUCUAAGGAGAGGUCAGCAGGUGUUUCACAGACUGUUCCUGUUGGAGGAUUUGUCUGAUACUCUUCUCCUGAUUAGUCUGGGCUCUACAUUUCCCCAAGGGUGAAACUUGGAAGCCCUCUCCAGGAUGCAGCAGGUAGCUGAGGAGAAAACGAAGACUGACCAGCCCAGAGCUCAGAGCUUCCUCCCAUGCUCAGGAUUUACCACCAAUGCCAUUACAUCGGCCUCUUCUUGUAUGCCUCUGGAAACCACAUGUGUCCUCUGUUUGUAAUGGUUUGGCUAUGGUUGCUGGCCCCUCUUGGACAUUGUUUUCAGAACUUAAAGAAACAUUGCUUUAAAGAUUUAUUAGAACAUAUUUAAAAUAAAACCAUCUUCUCAUUUA